GAGACUUGUCAACUUCGGAAAAUCUCGGUUCAAAACUGAACCGAAAAUGCAAGACUUGCUUUAAUUGUUUUCUGUCAUUGUUUAUAUGUAUUGAUCUAGCACAUGUAAAUAACAUGAGUUCCAUUAUAGUAAAUGAUAAAGAAAGAAUUGAAGGAAAAGUCUUGCAUUUUCGGUUCAGUUUUGAACAGAGAUUUUCCGACGUUGACAAGUCUCUCUUUCUCG
rnacentral:miRNA from 1 species